CCCUAUUUCACUGUCAAGAGGACCAAGGGAUUCAGAAAAGCUUCUUCACCUGAUUUUCUCUUCUAGGUCCUGCCUUGGACAGAACAAAGAGAAGUGACAAGAUGAACCCGGCACGUUAAAAAUAAAAUGAAGGGAUGCAGUGCAUAUGGUCCAUGUAUAUGGAAGACACUGCACUACCUCUGUUGAACAUAGAGAAUAAGCCCA
rnacentral:lncRNA from 1 species